UACGUAGGGGGCAAGCGUUGUCCGGAUUUAUUGGGCGUAAAGAGCGUGUAGGCGGCCAGGGAGGUCCGUUGUGAAAACUCGAGGCUCAACCUCGAGACGCCGAUGGAAACCCCCUGGCUAGAGUCCGGAAGAGGAGAGUGGAAUUCCUGGUGUAGCGGUGAAAUGCGCAGAGUAUCAGGAAGAACACCCGUGGCUAAGGCGGCUCUCUAGUACGGUACUGACGCUGAGACGCGAAAGCGUGGGGAGCGAACAGG
rnacentral:rRNA from 1 species